rnacentral:rRNA from 1 species
UUACGCUGUUAUCCCUAAGGUAAUUUACUCUUAUAGUCACUAAAAAUGGAUCAAAAAUAUAUAAAUAAAUAUAAAAAAAUAAAAAGAGUUAUUUUAAUCUUCCUAUCACCCCAACAAAAUUUACACAACAUUAAAUUUUUACCCACAAAAAAUAUUUAAAUAAAUUAAACUCUAUAGGGUCUUCUCGUCCCAAAAAAAUAUUUAGGCAUUUUAACCUAAAAUUUAAAUUCAACAUAAUAAAAAUCAAAGACAGUAAUUACCUCGUCAAACCAUUCAUUCCAGCCUACAAUUAAAAGACUAAUGAUUAUGCUACCUUUGCACGGUCAAAAUACCGCGGCCUUCAAAUAAUCAGCGGGCAGGUCAUACAUCAUAAUAACAGCAAAAGAGAUGUUUUUGUUAAACAGGCG